rnacentral:lncRNA from 1 species
UGGAGACCAGCUGUGCCAGUUGCUGUAUUGGAAAAAAUGCCUGCUGUGAAUCUAGUCUGCAUGUGUUGCUUAAUUUCCUGAAUUAUCAUAUUCCCCUAAUCAGUUUCUGAGUUAAGGACCAAAAUUGAGGAUCCAGAAUGGAGAAGAAAACAAUCAAAUUUCCAAGGAAGAUAUCUUUGGAAAACUCACUCUAUUGGCAAGAAUAUACUGUGGAAUAUGUCAUCAUGGGUAUUCCACACCCAUAUUCCCCUUCUCCAUUUCCCACUUUACAUAUGAAGAACCUGAGAUAUCUGAAAACCUCCUCCUAACAACAAGUAUUUGUAUGAAAAAAAUUAGGAACUUGAUAUUUAGCUUGUUGAAGUCUGGUGGGAAAUGCAAGAAGAUGAAGCAAUAUCUCACAGCUGUGGAAAGAGGAUCACAGGUGAAGCUAAGUGUUCCUAACAUCAUGCAAAGUAGUCUGAGGAGAAGAGAGAGUUUUGAAAACAUGCAUUUAUGACUCUUUGAAGCUGUGAUAACCACUUGGAGCCCUGGCAGUGUAUCGUCGAUGACCUUUUCUCGUGAGCACUCAUAAUUGCA